CCCUUAGAUGUUCUGGGCUGCACGCGCGCUACACUGAUGCGCUCAACGAGUUUUAACCUUGCCUGGAAAGGUUGGGUAAUCUUUUUAAAACGCAUCGUGAUGGGGAUAGAUUAUUGCAAUUAUUAAUCUUCAACGAUGAAUUCCUAGUAAGCGCGAGUCAUCAGCUCGUGCUGAUUACGUCCCUGCCCUUUGUACACACCGCCCGUCGCUCUUACCGAUUGAGUGAUCCGGUGAAUAAUUCGGACUGCGGCAUUGACCGGUUCCCGAUCGUUGCUGCGGAAAGUUUAGUGAACCUUAUCACUUAGAGGAAGGAGAAGUCGUAACA
rnacentral:rRNA from 1 species